UACGUAGGGGGCAAGCGUUGUCCGGAUUUAUUGGGCGUAAAGAGCGUGUAGGCGGCCAGACAGGUCAGCUGUGAAAACUCGAGGCUCAACCUCGAGACGUCGGUUGAAACCGUUUGGCUAGAGUCCGGAAGAGGAGAGUGAAAUUCCCGGUGUAGCGGUGAAAUGCGCAGAUAUCGGGAAGAACACCCGUGGCGAAGGCGGCUCUCUGGGACGGUACUGACGCUGAGACGCGAAAGCGUGGGGAGCGAACAGG
rnacentral:rRNA from 1 species